UUGCUUAUAUUCAAGAUUAUAUUGUUCUUAGUUUAUCAUAGUUAUGUACUUGGCUUAGUUAGAUUCGAUCUAUAUACAUGCUUAGGAUCGUAUAGCGUUUAUCCAUCGGAUCGAUGGGUAAAUGAUAGAUAUUGUGUAGGUGUGGUGCUUAUACCGUAUUUAACUGCGAUUGUACCCAAUAUGCCAGAUCGUGGGGUAGUUCGUGAUAGUGACAGCUUCAUUGAUUCUUAUAUAGUCCCCCUCUCGUGUAUUGGGCU
rnacentral:lncRNA from 1 species